rnacentral:rRNA from 1 species
UCGCCUGUUUUUCAAAAACAUGUCCUUUGGUUUAUAUAAAAGUUCCGCCCUGCCCAAUGAUUUUGUUUAAGGGCUGCAGUAUCUGGACUGUCCAAAGGUAGCAUAUUCACUUGUCCUUUAAUUGAGGUCUAGGAUGAAUGGUCAGAUGAAAAAUAUACUUUCUUUAUUUUAUAUAAAAAAAUUAAUCUUUUGGUUAAAAAGCUAAAAUAUAUUUAUAGGACGAGAAGACCCUAUAGAACUUUAUUUAUAUCAUAUAUAUAUGAUAUAGCUAAUAUUAAUUAAUAUAUGUUAAUUAAAUUUUGUUGGGGUGACAGAAAAAAAUUAAUAACUUUUUCUAUUUUUGUCAUUUUAUAUGACUUUUUGAUCCUUUUUUAUGGAUAAAAAGAUUAAGUUACCUUAGGGAUAACAGCGUUAUUAUUUUGGAGAGUUCUUAUCGAUAAAAUAGUUUGCGACCUCGAUGUUGGAUUAAAAAAAAAUAUAGGAAUAAAAAAUUAUUUUUUAAGUCUGUUCGACCUUUUAACUUUUACAUGAUCUGAGUUCAAACCGGAGA